GAGAGUUUGAUCCUGGCUCAGAACGAACGCUGGCGGCAUGGCUAAGACAUGCAAGUCGUAUGGGACUGGCCGUGGGUAACUGCGGUCGGUUCAGUGGCGGACGGGAGCGUAAUGCAUGGGUAACGUAUCCUUGACACGGGAAUAACAGCGGACCGCAAGGUUCUUUAGCGAAAGUGCUGCUAAUGCCCGAUGAAGUCGCCGGGUCGCAUGGCCUGGCGUCCAAAGGGCGGGGACCGGGUAACCGGCCUGCCGGUCUUGGAGCGGCCCAUGUCCUAUCAGCUAGUUGGUGAGGUAAUGGCUCACCAAGGCUACGACGGGUAGCGGGCGUGAGAGCGUGGCCCGCCACAUCGGGACUGAGACACUGCCCGGACACCUACGGGUGGCUGCAGCAACGAAUAUUCCGCAAUGGACGCAAGUCUGACGGAGCGACGCCGCGUGGAGGAUGAAGUCCCUCGGGAUGUAAACUUCAAUAGUUUGCCAGGAAGCGAAAGGACCUAAUACGUCCUUAGUUGACCAUCAAACGAAAGGGGUGGCUAACUCCGUGCCAGCAGCCGCGGUAAGACGGAGACCCCAAGCGUUGUUCGGAAUCACUGGGCUUAGAGUGGGUGUAGGCGGGACGGUAAGUACUGAGUGAAAUCCCCGGUCUCAACCCGGGAACUGCUUGGUAUACUGCCGUUCUUGAGGCAGGUAGGGGUCACUGGAACCUUAGGUGGAGCGGUGAAAUGCGUAGAUAUCUAAGGGAACGCCUGUGGCGAAAGCGGGUGACUGGGCCUGUUCUGACGCUGAGACCCGAAAGCGUAGGGAGCAAGCGGGAUUAGAUACCCCGGUAGUCUACGCCGUAAACGAUGCGCACUAGGCAAGAGGGUUCUGACGACCUUCGUGCCGCAAGAAAACCGUGAAGUGCGCCGCCUGGGGAGUACGGCCGUAAGGCUAAAACUCAAAGGAAUUGACGGGGGCUCACACAAGCGGUGGAGCAUGUGGACCAAUUCGAAGCAACGCGAAGAACCUUACCUGGGUUUGACAUGCACGGAUGCCGUCGAUGAAAGUCGAGCCGGCUGCCUUCGGGUGAAACGUGCACAGGUGCUGCAUGGCUGUCGUCAGCUCGUGCUGUGAAGUGUCGGGUUAAGUCCCUUAACGAGCGAAACCCUUGUCGCUAGUUACCAGCGGGUCAUGCCGGGGACUCUGGCGAGACUGCCGGUGUUAAGCCGGAGGAAGGUGGGGACGACGUCAGGUCAUCAUGGCCUUUAUGUCCAGGGUUUCACACGUGCUACAAUGGGGUGUACAAAGCGACGCGAAGCCGUGAGGUGGAGCAAAUCGCACAAAACAUCCCUCAGUUCAGAUUGGGGUCUGCAACCCGACCCCAUGAAGUCGGAAUCGCUAGUAAUCGCGUAUCAGCCAUGACGCGGUGAAUGUGUUCCUGAGCCUUGUACACACCGCCCGUCAAGUCAUGGGAGCUGGGAGUUCCCGAAGUCGCCGCAAUUCAGCGGUGCCGACGGAAAGUCUGGUGACUGGGACUAAGUCGUAAC
rnacentral:rRNA from 1 species